GAACAUGGAGGAGACAAGUGUGGUGCCGUCGGUGAUUUGGUGGAGUUUCUUGGCGCCGAAGUAGUCGACUAAAACAUGGAGGGAGAGGACAUUUUUGAGGGUGGUGAUGGAGAGGUGUUUGUCUAGGAGGGAGGACAUGGCGGCAUUGUCUAUGGCUAGGAUGGUUAUGGUUUGACGGCGGUUGAUUUCGUCGGCGAGGUGGGUUAUGGUGAGGUAGUGGUUGAAGGUGGAGAAGCCAGGGUGUUUGGCUAGAAUGCGGGUGAUGUUAUGGUUGCCGGAGGUGGCGGCAGCGGCGGUGGUGGAAUGAAUGAGU
rnacentral:lncRNA from 1 species